rnacentral:rRNA from 1 species
UACGUAGGUGGCAAGCGUUGUCCGGAUUUACUGGGCGUAAAGGGCGUGCAGGCGGCCUGUGCAAGUCAGUUGUGAAAUCUCCGGGCUUAACUCGGAACGGUCAACUGAUACUGCUCGGCUAGAGUGCGGGAAGGGGCAACUGGAAUUCUUGGUGUAGCGGUGAAAUGCGUAGAUAUCAAGAGGAACACCUGCGGCGAAGGCGGGUUGCUGGGCCGACACUGACGCUGAAGUGCGAAAGCUAGGGGAGCGAACGGG